rnacentral:sRNA from 1 species
GCGCGGGCCGUGUCAACCGUACGCGACGGGGAUGGCGAGCAUGGCGAUUUUUCCGGUUUCUCGCCGUGGCAGACGAAUGGCAAACGAGCGCCCAACCUGUCCGGCCC